AAAACGCUUCCAAUGGCUGUGUUUCCGGCGACGGCGCGGGGGCAGCUGGGAAUCCGGAAUGCUGCCCGAUGGCCCUGGGUCCUCGCUGUGGGGCAAUCCGGGCUUGCAGACGAGGUAAGGUCGAUUCCAUUUGGCCCGGGGAUGGUCACACGCGCGGGGGCCGGAACUGCCGUCGCCGGCGCGGUCGUUGUCGCAUUGCUCUCGGCCGCACUCGCGCUGUACGGGCCGCCACUGGACGCAGAGGCCCUAUGGACAGCGAUGACAGCCAUGGAUCUGUGCUAAGACUCAGCCAAGCCCU
rnacentral:lncRNA from 1 species